GCAACCAUUGCUUGGUAGACCGCACACUUCAUAGGCAGAAGUUUCCAUUCUUUUCAUUGCCAUGCAAAAGAAUCAGAACAGCUGAUGAUGCUUAUAUGUUCACAAGUUUCUGACCAGGAUACGAGGAGACACCCGCCACCUUCGAAACUCAGUUAGGUCAGUCCAGCAUCCUUGGCUACUCUUCGAGCUUUGCUAGGCCUCUGUCCAGAAAGCCGGUGCCACAUCUGCGAGGCUGGGAAGAGGAAUCUUGAAGAAGCAAUCGGGGUGUAUGCGUGUCGCAUUGCCAGCAAAGCACUUUGGAAGAUCAAUGUCACAGCUCAAGGGCAGGCAGAAAAAUCAGUCCCUCUCUCUGAUGUAGACAACCAGCCAGGAGGCUGGAAGUUCCAUGGCAAUCAAGCCGGUGUGUCAGCCAAGUGGCUAAUUAAGGGACUAACCCUGCAGCUGAUUUCAUCCCAGCUACUUCCUGGUAAUGCCAACAAGAUGCAGAGCCCCUCAAACAAUCGCGUACAGCAAGAGAAACUGAUUUUUCCACUGGGUCCUGAUGGGCUGAAGUGACACUGUUGAAAUAUCAACACACGCAACAUGAAUGAACAUAACACAGAUAUGGAAUCUAACUUGUUGCGUCCAGAUUUACGAGACCAAUCCAGCACACCUCAACCCACUAGGGAACAGCUAUUAACCAAAAACAUGUUCUGUUGGGUUGGCUUCAAAAAUGGCCGCAUGAAUUGUGAUGAUAAAUAACCUUUCCUCUGCAAAGAACAACCACCUUUCCAUUCUCUCAUGUAUAGAAUAAAGCCAGAGUAUAAUAAAUACUGUAUGGCUUGAGCAAAUGUUAAGGGUGAUUUGGUUGCAGGAGAUGUGCAAAAAGGA